rnacentral:rRNA from 1 species
UUCGCAAUGCCCGAAAGGGUGACGAAGCGACGCCGCGUGUGGGAAGAAGGCCCUAGGGUUGUAAACCACUGUCAGGAGUUAAGAAAUAUAGAGGUGUUAAUAGCGCUUCUAUUUGACGAAGGCUCCAGAGGAAGCCACAGCUAACUCCGUGCCAGCAGCCGCGGUAAUACAGAGGUGGCAAGCGUUGUUCGGAAUUAUUGGGCGUAAAGAGCACGUAGGCGGCCCUGCAAGUCAGUUGUGAAAGCCUUCCGCUUAACGGGAGAACGGCAGCUGAUACUACGGGGCUAGAGUACGGGAGGGGAGAGUGGAACUUCUGGUGGAGCGGUGAAAUGCGUAGAUAUCAGAAGGAACGCCGGCGGCGAAAGCGACUCUCUGGCCCGAAACUGACGCUGAGUGUGCGAAAGCUAGGGGAGCAAACGGGAUUAGAUACCCCGGUAGUCCUAGCCGUAAACGAUGGGCACUAAGUAGAGGGGUUUU